CAGCUUUUUAGCUAGCAAGUAGUCUUUAGUGAGUUUUCAUCGGUCUCAGGAAAGCAACUCUGAAAGCUCUGCUGCCCUUGCUCAGGGGAAAUGGAUUUGGCAAGCUGUUUAGACCACUGGACAGCCUUGGAUUUUUAAAGCCACUGCCCUCCAUCAGCAAGGCAUCGGAUUGGUCCAACUCCAAGCGCCUAGUAACUACAUUCAAUGGAGACCCGUCGUCUAGCAACACCAUAAUGUU
rnacentral:lncRNA from 12 species